GACGAACGCUGGCGGCGUGCCUAAUACAUGCAAGUAGAACGCUGAAGGAGGAGCUUGCUUCUCUGGAUGAGUUGCGAACGGGUGAGUAACGCGUAGGUAACCUGCCUGGUAGCGGGGGAUAACUAUUGGAAACGAUAGCUACUACCGCAUAAGAGUAGAUGUCGCAUGACAUUUGCUUAAAAGGUGCAAUUGCAUCACUACCAGAUGGACCUGCGUUGUAUUAGCUAGUUGGUGAGGUAACGGCUCACCAUGGCAACGAUACAUAGCCGACCUGAGAGGGUGAUCGGCCACACUGGGACUGAGACACGGCCCAGACUCCUACGGGAGGCAGCAGUAGGGAAUCUUCGGCAAUGGACGGAAGUCUGACCGAGCAACGCCGCGUGAGUGAAGAAGGUUUUCGGAUCGUAAAGCUCUGUUGUAAGAGAAGAACGAGUGUGAGAGUGGAAAGUUCACACUGUGACGGUAUCUUACCAGAAAGGGACGGCUAACUACGUG
rnacentral:rRNA from 1 species